GUGGUUCUGAUUUGCAUAUUGCACCACAUGUGUUUUUCUUUGAAACAAACUUGCUUUGGCGGUGGGCCCAGCCUGCCGCCAGAGGUCUAAACUUACAACCAAUUUUUUAUCAACUUGUCACACCAGAUUAUUACUUAAUAGUCAAAACUUUCAACAACGGAUCUCUUGGUUCUCGCAUCGAUGAAGAACGCAGCGAAAUGCGAUACGUAAUAUGAAUUGCAGAUAUUCGUGAAUCAUCGAAUCUUUGAACGCACAUUGCGCCCUCUGGUAUUCCGGAGGGCAUGCCUGUUUGAGCGUCGUUUCUCCCUCAAACCGCUGGGUUUGGUGUUGAGCAAUACGACUUGGGUUUGCUUGAAAGACGGUAGUGGUAAGGCGGGAUCGCUUUGACAAUGGCUUAGGUCUAACCAAAAACAUUGCUUGCGGCGGUAACGUCUACCACGUAUAUCUUCAAACUUUGACCUCAAAUCAGGUAGGACUACCCGCUGAACUUAAGCAUAUCAAUAACCGGAGAAA
rnacentral:rRNA from 1 species